ensembl:lncRNA
AGGGGCUACACUACUAUACUGCUUUAUGCAAAUGGUAUUAACUCAUUAUUGCCUGUCUCAGAGCAGUCCCAUUGUCACCGUAAUCUGUACAAGGCCACUAAUGCAAAAAAAAACCAACAAAAAAAAAGAAAAAACAAACCAAAAAACCCCACUGUUUCCUGCUCCUGUUCCCUCUAUUUUUGAGUAAUAACAUACUGCCUGCUGCCUGAUCCACCUCUUCAAAGGUUGGACAAUUCACACUGCAAAACAGUGCAAUAUCAGGUCUUUGUACCCCAUAGGUUCCUGAUCUGUGCGGGGGGGAAUUAUCAUGACUGGCCGGCAUCUCUUCUAGUAACUGCCCCACGAUUAGAUGUAAACUACCUGAAUCUAUAUGCUUCAGUCUUGCUGUUUUGCAGGGCAGGGACAAAUGUUCCUAUAUGUAGUGCCAUUUCCACAUCAGCAUAUGAUAAACUGUUGUGUUCAAGAAGGCAAAAGGGUCCAUAGUAGGUUAUUAUACAGUCUAGAAGGGCUGCAUUGUCAUAUAUACCUUAAGCAUGACUCAUUCAGUCACUUUGACUGAGCAAACAGGUUUUAAUGUAGCUAGUGACUACGGGGAAGAUAUAUUCCACAGCUCACAGUACUACAGGAAAAAAAGGAUCCUGCAGUUAGACCAGGAUUACAUAUUAACCUCCUCACAGUUGGCAGCUGAAUGCACUGAUUUCAUCAGCAUAGUUCCUAAUUUAAAGACAUAUUCAGAGAAGCAAUAUGCUUUUACCUAGUUGGAACCAAGGAAUGGUGGUGUAAAGGGUGAGACCUGCCAGGAUGGAUAGCAAGCCAAAAAUAUGUCUUACAAUAUGCCCUUACAGUGAUUUCCUGGAAGAGCUAAGGCUAGAGACCACAGAGCAGCACCCUAAAGCUCCAGAAACCUUCAUAUUCUCACAUAAUACACACUAUGUGUUCUUUCAAAUAAGCAACAUAUUCAAAGGUGAGUUGCUAUCCAAAGACCUCUUAAAACUCCUCCUAAUUGGUAUGUGUCUGCUGUUCAACACCACAUGUAAUUAUCUUCAUCACCUUGAAUUUUAUGGAGCACUGUUUGCUAGUCCUUUCUUAGACAGCAGCAUUCAAACAUUUAAAAACAUUCUGAUACACUGAUUAUUCAACUAAAGAAACGUCACCGAUUUAUCAGCACUGUCAUUUCCUCAAGGCCUUGGUUUGCAUUUAACCCGACUUCUUAAGAGGCUGAACUCAAAGUAAUCAAAACCAGAAGAGAAAUAACAGGAUCAAAGUUCCACAUGACAACAGAAGUUACGGCAGGAUUCCCAAAAACAGGAUUUUCCAACCAGAAGGGUGGAAGAAUGGAGAAUAAGGCAGGAGUUGCAAAAAGUUGAGGGCUGCUAGUCUGAAAAGUAUGAAUGGCACUUAGCCACACACAUCUGCUUCACUGUACUGCAGAAGCCCUCAACUUAAGAGUUUUCUGUUAGCUCAUGCACAUUAGAUGUACAUGCUAGAAAACCUUGUAACUGUGUUGCCCACUCAUUGAUUUAGACCUUCAUGGGGCUGGAACAGAUUUAGGAAAGGGCUGUAAGCUUAGAAAGAAAAUUUCUUUGAGAACAAAACAUGCAGUAAGUGGAGACAUCAGGGAAAUACCUUCAAAACAGCACCAUUUCUCCAAACCAAAUGUCUAGUGUAGAAAUAUCAGAACAGAAGCUUAGUCACCCAGUUCCUGAAAAGGUAAUUGAUCAGUCUGUCCCCUGAGGUGAGCAGGGAUUUUUUGAAGGCUCAACAGUUACAGCAAGUUUACACAGUGCAUUUACAGACACUAACACACCUCAUCCCAGGUGUCAAUUCACAAGCUGAACCCCACCUUCUGUGUUAAAAGCAUUCCAAAAAAAAUGAGGAUCCAUUUACCAAACAUACAGUUUCCACUCAUCUCAGAUUAUAAACCACUCUGCAACCUUUAGACAUUCAGUAUGUCAGGUAGACUAUAACCUAGGGGGAAAUAUUACCUAUCCAGUCUACAUAAAGUACAACAGGAGCAUCAGUUGCCUAAGUCUAAACAAUAUUAGAUAUCAUGCUUUUCUAGUACUUCAGCCUCACUUUAUCAUUCUGUGAGAUUUUGAAAACAUGGAACUCCAUUCUCUGCUGUGAGAGGCUGUUUACAAAGUGUUGUUAUGUGAUCCUAGAUAUGUAGCUGAACUGCAUUUUGAAAAUUUACUUUGAAUAUCACUUCACUUUAUCUUGCCACAUUACUGCUGCAAAAAUCAGUUACAGAUAAUACGGUCUGUGUGUCUCUCUUGGGAAUUACCUCCAAAUGUCAGAAACUUUCAAAUGUUAUUGGACAGACAUCUAAUUUUGAACAGACUUCUGAGCUAAAGAUGAAUUUGACUUUCCUAACUCCAGCUGC